AGUGAACGCUGGCGGUAGGCCUAACACAUGCAAGUCGAACGGCAGCACAGUAAGAGCUGGCUCUUACGGGUGGCGAGUGGCGGACGGGUGAGGAAUGCAUCGGAUUCUACUUGUUCGUUGGUGAUAACGUAGGAAAACUUACGCUAAUACCGCAUAUGUCGUACGGGUGAAAGCAGGGGAUCUUCGGACUUUUCGCGAUUGAUUGAGCCGAUGUCGGAUUAGCUAGUUGGCGAGGUAAAGGCGCACCAAGGCGAAGAUCCGUAGCUGGUCUGAGAGGAUGAUCCGCCACACUGGAACUGAGACACGGUCCAGACUCCUACGGGAGGCAGCAGUGGGGAAUCUUGCGCAAUGGGCGAAAGCCUGAUCCAGCCAUACCGCGUGAGUGAAGAAGGCCUUCGGGUUGUAAAACCCUUUUGUUCGGAAAGAAAAACAGCACGUUAAUCCCCCGCUGUUCUGACGGUACCCAAAGAAUAAGCCCCGGCUAACUUCGUG
rnacentral:rRNA from 1 species